AUUAGCUAUCAUCCAUCAAUUAUACAAAUGUCUCAAUGAAGAAAAAAAAAAGCAUAAUAUCAUCAGGGCUUGUAUCAGCCCAUAUUACAUUUCUCAAGAGAAACAACCAUAAUAUUUAUUUCUUGCUGAAAGAGAAAGCAAAGACAUCUAAAAACCUUCCACAUUAAGCCUUGAAAUUCCAGUUCUGGGGUAAUUAAGCUCAUUGCCCAGAAUGCGCGCCAGCAGCCCCUACGAUUUAUCUUUGAAGCCUCCUCUGCAUUUUUGCUUUGUAGACAGCAGCUUUGACAUAAAUCCAAUCUUUUGCAUUGUCCAGGAAUUUGAAAUAAGCAUAUCUCCAAGAACUCUUAAGCAAUAAACUGCCGCAGACUAUCCAAAACCCAGUGAUGAAUCCCAACACUGUACUGAUGAAGAAUCCCAAGCUUAUGAGACCAUCAUUUUCGUGUUCCCUGUUAUGAUCAUCUUCAGUUGUUGCAUCUCCAGGGCAAUUUGGUGAGAGUGGUGGUCCGCAGAGUCCAAGAUUUCCCAUAUAUUUAGAAGCAUCGAAACUCUGAAGUUGGGUGCUUGCUGGAAUUCUUCCAGACAAUUGGUUGUAUGACAAGUCCAAGACUCCAAGAAAAUUCAAACUCGAAAAACUGGAGGAAUUUGACCAGAUAUCUGGUUUCUUGACAAAUCAAGAGAUUCUAACUUCUUCAUGUUACCGAAGUUCUCAGGAAGCUUUCCUGUAAACUUGUUUCUUGAGAAGUUUAGAGAAAUCAAGUUUUGCAUACUAGUGAUGCUUUCCGGAAUUUCCCCAACCAAAGAAUUGCUUGAAAUGUCAAUGCUUCUCAAAUGCCAAAUAUUGUUCCCGAACUCAAUCUCUAUUCCUUUCCACACGAGUUCUACAACCAUAUAAGCAUAAAGAAAAUCAUCAGCCAAAGCCGUUAUGUUAUUGAAGCAAUGUGGUAAUGCUCCUGAAAUAUUGUUGUGAGAGAGGUCCAAAACAUGAAUGGUGGCUAGAUUGCACAGGGAGAAGGGUAUGAUUCCAUUGAACUCAUUGGACCGUAAGCGUAAAAUCAAUGAAUUAAAAGGCGCGCCUCAAGGCUCGCCUGAGGCUCAAAAGGCGGAAAUCAGCCCUUAAAUUGAGUGAGUUUCGGUUGUAAGGCGAUGAGGCUUCAAAGGCGUCGACCAAGGCGUGAAAGGCGAACCAGAGGCGCAGGCGCAGUAAUUUUUUUUUUUUCAAAACCCAAAGACGCCGGUUUAGGCUUUGUGUUUUAAGCAUUGUCUAGGUCGCGAGAAAUAGCAGAAUAGAGUUCCAGAACAGAUUUCAGCCUUUGCACUUCCAAAACGCAGCAAAUUCGAACCUAACCCAGAAAAAUGAUAAAAAUCUCUUAGAACCCAUUAGUUUUCUCAAGAAUUUGGCUUUAAGGGAGAUUCUUUUCUCACUUGGAAUUCGAGUUGGAGACUUGGAGCAACUGAGCAAGAGAUUUGGAUUAUGGGAGUUUGAUUGGCAGCAAAAGAUUUGAAGUGUGCUAAAUGUGCUCGUUGGCUGCCAGAUGAUAAUGGCUAUCCAAAAGCUAGCCAUAUAUCAGUUGAAAAGCUAUCUAACUUAGCCGAGCCCUGCAGUUCAUUAAUUUGAUCCAAGAAGCCAAGAUACGAAGCAAAAAUCUUGUUAAGUUUGUGGAAUCUCAUAAUCAGCUUGAGUACUGGAUGGAGUGGGCUAGGUUUUUAAUUUCAAUUGCAAAAAUCUGCAGAUCUUGGCUGUUGCUAAGAUUUGGUCAACAACCUUGGUACCAUUGCAAGGUCUGGCACCAAGAAAUUCAUGGAAGCCUUGGCUACUAGAUCUGAUGUUAGCAUGAUUGGUCAGUUUGGUGUUGGAUUCUACUUUGCAUAUCAUGUUGUUGAGAAGGAAGAGGAAGUUGAUGAAGAGAAGGAAGUGGUCAUGUUUCUGGCCUUGA